AAACUCAGUAUAGUUUAGUUUUCUUCUUUCUCCUAAAAUAAACCAUUUUACUUUCAACAAUGUCACCCUCUUAUGUCAAGAUAGGUCUUUUCUGUGUGCUAUGGUUUCUCAUGACAGCAGGUGCUUUCUGGACUGUUGAAGGCUCUAGAAGUUUAAUAUCACCACGUUGUAAGAAACCAAUGGACUGUGUAGCCAAUUGCCCUCGUUGCCAAUUUGUAACAUGCCUCAACACUUGGUGCGUUUGUGGUUGUGUCCCUCGAUAAUCAUGAGCUCCCAACUUCAAUUCAUUCCUCCCAUUAAGAUGUUGGCCUAAAAUUAAUAAUAAGCCAGCUAAGGCGACAAGGCCAGUCGAUAGAUGAAAACUAAAUAUUGUAACUAGUUUUCCCUAGUUGAUUCACUUUUCCUUA